UAUCUUCAGUUACUAACAGGUCAUGCUGAGGACUCUGGAGAGACUGCCGUCGUAAGAUGUGAGGAAGGUGGGGAUGACGUCAAAUCAGCACGGCCCUUACGUCCGGGGCUACACACGUGUUACAAUGGGGGGUACAGAAGGCAGCUACCUGGUGACAGGAUGCUAAUCCCAAAAGCCUCUCUCAGUUCGGAUCGAAGUCUGCAACCCGACUUCGUGAAGCUGGAUUCGCUAGUAAUCGCGCAUCAGCCACGGCGCGGUGAAUACGUUCCCGGGCCUUGUACACACCGCCCGUCAAGCCAUGGGAGCCGGGGGUACCUGAAGUACGUAACCGCAAGGAGCGUCCUAGGGUAAAACUGGUGACUGGGGCUAAGUCGUAACAAGGUAGCCGUACCGGAAGGUGCGGCUGGAACACCUCCUUU
rnacentral:rRNA from 1 species